GAUGAACGCUGGCGGCGUGCCUAAUACAUGCAAGUCGAGCGAACAGACGAGGAGCUUGCUCCUCUGACGUUAGCGGCGGACGGGUGAGUAACACGUGGAUAACCUACCUAUAAGACUGGGAUAACUUCGGGAAACCGGAGCUAAUACCGGAUAAUAUAUUGAACCGCAUGGUUCAAUAGUGAAAGACGGUUUUGCUGUCACUUAUAGAUGGAUCCGCGCCGCAUUAGCUAGUUGGUAAGGUAACGGCUUACCAAGGCGACGAUGCGUAGCCGACCUGCGAGGGUGCUCGGCCACACUGGAACUGAGACACGGUCCAGACUCCUACGGGAGGCAGCAGUAGGGAAUCUUCCGCAAUGGGCGAAAGCUUGACGGAGCAACGCCGCGUGAGUGAUGAAGGUCUGCGGAUCGUAAAACUCUGUUAUUAGGGAAGAACAAAUGUGUAAGUAACUAUGCACGUCUUGACGGUACCUAAUCAGAAAGCCACGGCUAACUACGUG
rnacentral:rRNA from 1 species